rnacentral:rRNA from 1 species
AUUUCUUUUUUUUUUUAAUUUUUUUAUAUUGUUUUUUGUAAAAUGUUUUAAUUUGUUUAAAUUUUGAGGAGAAAUUAAAAAUUUGGUUUUUUGAACUGGAUUAUUACCCAGGUAAUCAAAAUUUAUUAACGCGGGAGUAAAGUUUUAUUUAAACCGAAAAAAUAUUGACUGACUUUGGAUUUUUCUUUGGAAUAUGUAUAUUUUUUGGAAGGCCCUCCUUUUUAGUGGAUCUUAUUGGCACAUGUAUGAUUGUUUAGUUUUUAUUUUUUGUGUGAUGCUUGUUUUCUUUUUGUGUUAAAAAACAGAUAAAUACUUGGCUUAUUGGUCUAUUUAUAUGUAUUACUAUUUUAAAUUUUUUUUGGAUGAUCUUUUAAUUUUUUUCUGAAAUUGGAAAAGAAAGUAAUUUAUUUUUAAUGUGUUUAUGAAUUUAAUAAGCAAAGUGGUACAAACCAUCCGUCAA